CAUAACAUAUCUGUUUUUUAGAAGUUUGAAAUUGAUUUGGACGAGCAUUACGUGAAAGAUAGUUGUGAGGAUAUUUUGAAAAAUAGAAGCCUAAAAUGGCGGUACAAGUUAAAACAGCUAUUUGAAAGUGCACGUUCGGAGGAAGAAGCUCGUAAAAUUGAAGUGCCAGAGUUGACCCGAGAAAAUUGGAAUAAGCUUUGUGACAUCUGGGCUGAUCCAGAGCAUAAGGUAAUUUAUAUUCAUGUUAUUAUCCUUGUUGAUUAAGUUACAUAUAUUUAUAUGUUCUUUGUAGAAACGAUGCGACAUAAAUAGGGUCAAUCGAAGUAAGCUUAAAAUUAAUCAUUUCAUGGGGUCAAAAGCGUUUGUACCGGCUCGUGCUGAACUUGCUGAAAAUGGAGUAUAGCCUGAUAGAAUCGAGUUCUACAAGAGUACUCAUUACUCGACUGAAAAAGGAUGGUCAUCUCUAGAGGCUGAGACAAACUAUAACACCAUGAAAGAUUUGAAAGAUAUAUAUACUUCGGGAGAGCCAGGAGAGCCUUGCAUGACUAUUGAUCAAAUUAUGGAUACUGUACAUGGUAGAAAAUCGGGGUACAUAAAAGGUCUCGGUUAUGGUCCGAAACCUGAUACUACUAGAGCCACACAAAGAAGAACAGCAGAGUUAGAAGACUCCCUUAGAAAGACGAAAGAGGAAGCUGCUAGUGCCCAACAUGAUUUACAGAAACGAUUAAAUGCAGCUGAAGUUGUGGUAGAAACCCAACAGUCCAAGAUAGAAAACCAGCAGUCCCAGAUAGAAACUCAGCAGGCCCAGAUACAAGUAUUAAAUUCUCAAUUGGUUACUUUAGCAGCACGCCAAGAGGAAAUGUUUAAAAAAAUGAAACAUUUUGCUAGCUCAUCGCCAUCAAGGUAUUAAAUGUGGGAAUUGAAUCAAGACUGAUUGCAAGCUAAGUGUCACCACAUUAUUAGUAUUUUGGAAGAAACCUGCACUAUCUGUCUUAGUUUAGGAGUAAUAUUUCGUAUAUUUCAGUUGGAUUGGUACUUUGGAAGAAACUGCAUUGUCUAUCUUAGUUUAGGAGUAAUAUUUAGUAUAUUUCAGUUGGAUUUUCUUGUUAGUAGACAUAUUUUACUUUUAUUUAGGAGUUUGUAAUGAGAUAUGAUCUCAGUACAAUUUUAGUUGUUAAUUGUAUGAUCAUGGGUGAAUUGUAUCA